UACGGAGGGUGCGAGCGUUGUCCGGAAUCACUGGGCGUAAAGGGCGCGUAGGCGGCGCGGAAAGUCAACGGUGAAAGCUUGGGGCUCAACCCCGAGUCGGCCGUCGAUACUUCCGUGCUCGAGCACUGUAGAGGCAGGUGGAAUUCCGGGUGUAGCGGUGGAAUGCGUAGAGAUCCGGAAGAACACCCGUGGCGAAGGCGGCUCUCUGGAACGCAACUGACGCUGAGACGCGAAAGCGUGGGGAGCAAACAGG
rnacentral:rRNA from 1 species